GCUUAACACAUGCAAGUCGAGGGGCAGCAUUUUAGUUUGCUUGCAAACUGAAGAUGGCGACCGGCGCACGGGUGAGUAACACGUAUCCAACCUGCCGAUAACUCCGGAAUAGCCUUUCGAAAGAAAGAUUAAUACCGGAUAGCAUACGAAUAUCGCAUGAUAUUUUUAUUAAAGAAUUUCGGUUAUCGAUGGGGAUGCGUUCCAUUAGUUUGUUGGCGGGGUAACGGCCCACCAAGACUACGAUGGAUAGGGGUUCUGAGAGGAAGGUCCCCCACAUUGGAACUGAGACACGGUCCAAACUCCUACGGGAGGCAGCAGUGAGGAAUAUUGGUCAAUGGGCGAGAGCCUGAACCAGCCAAGUAGCGUGAAGGAUGAAGGCUCUAUGGGUCGUAAACUUCUUUUAUAUGGGAAUAAAGUUUUCCACGUGUGGAAUUUUGUAUGUACCAUAUGAAUAAGGAUCGGCUAACUCCGUGCCAGCAGCCGCGGUAAUACGGAGGAUCCGAGCGUUAUCCGGAUUUAUUGGGUUUAAAGGGAGCGUAGGUGGAUUGUUAAGUCAGUUGUGAAAGUUUGCGGCUCAACCGUGAAAUUGCAGUUGAAACUGGCAGUCUUGAGUACAGUAGAGGUGGGCGGAAUUCGUGGUGUAGCGGUGAAAUGCUUAGAUAUCACGAAGAACUCCGAUUGCGAAGGCAGCUCACUAGACUGUCACUGACACUGAUGCUCGAAAGUGUGGGUAUCAAACAGGAUUAGAUACCCUGGUAGUCCACACAGUAAACGAUGAAUACUCGCUGUUUGCGAUAUACAGUAAGCGGCCAAGCGAAAGCAUUAAGUAUUCCACCUGGGGAGUACGCCGGCAACGGUGAAACUCAAAGGAAUUGACGGGGGCCCGCACAAGCGGAGGAACAUGUGGUUUAAUUCGAUGAUACGCGAGGAACCUUACCCGGGCUUAAAUUGCAACAGAAUAUAUUGGAAACAGUAUAGCCGUAAGGCUGUUGUGAAGGUGCUGCAUGGUUGUCGUCAGCUCGUGCCGUGAGGUGUCGGCUUAAGUGCCAUAACGAGCGCAACCCUUAUCUUUAGUUACUAACAGGUCAUGCUGAGGACUCUAGAGAGACUGCCGUCGUAAGAUGUGAGGAAGGUGGGGAUGACGUCAAAUCAGCACGGCCCUUACGUCCGGGGCUACACACGUGUUACAAUGGGGGGUACAGAAGGCGGCUACCUGGUGACAGGAUGCUAAUCCCAAAAACCUCUCUCAGUUCGGAUCGAAGUCUGCAACCCGACUUCGUGAAGCUGGAUUCGCUAGUAAUCGCGCAUCAGCCAUGGCGCGGUGAAUACGUUCCCGGGCCUUGUACACACCGCCCGUCAAGCCAUGAAAGCUGGGGGUACCUGAAGUACGUAACCGCAAGGAGCGUCCUAGGGUAAAACUGGUAAUUGGGGC
rnacentral:rRNA from 1 species